GCACCACAACAGGUGGAGCCUGCGGUUUUAAUCGGACUCAACGCCGGGAAAACUCACCAGAUAAGACAGCUGAAUGAUAGUCGGGCUGAAGACUCUACUUGACUAGCUGAGAGGAGGUGCAUGGCCGUCGUCAGUUCGUACUGUGAAGCAUCCUGUUAAGUCAGGCAACGAGCGAGACCCACGCCAACAGUUGCCAGCUCGUCCUCCGGGAUGGUGGGGACACUGUUGGGACCGCUCUGCUAAAGAGGAGGAAGGAAUGGGCAACGGUAGGUCAGCAUGCCCCGAAUUAUCUGGGCUACACGCGGGCUACAAUGGGUGGGACAAUGGGUAUCGACACCGAAAGGUGAAGGCAAUCUCCUAAACCCAUCCGUAGUUCGGAUUGUGGGCUGCAACUCGCCCACAUGAAGCUGGAAUCUGUAGUAAUCGUGUCUCAAAACGGCACGGUGAAUAUGUCCCUGCUCCUU
rnacentral:rRNA from 1 species